rnacentral:lncRNA from 1 species
GACCCACAGACUGAAAACGCGGCCAGGCGGUGCCCGAAACAUUAUCCUAGCCUCCAAAGAGGCCAGUUUGGCUUUAUUACACGGGAGAUGUAAUUUAUUGGGAGAAAUGUUUGGGUUCGUGUGUCGGAUGGUGGAGAGUCAGAUUUGGAGUUCCCUGGGGAUCUCCGAGGAGAAGGUGUGUUAAGGAAAUCACCAAGUCCCAGAGUGUAGACAAGCCCGAUCCCUUCGCAGCAGAAGCAGAUGUUCACAAAGCAACUGACCAGGCCAGGUGUGUCCUUCAAGGCUACCUGCAUUCAACAGAGGCGACCACAGCCCAGACCCAUCCUUCUUGGGAGAAUUUCAAGAUGCUCCACAUAGUGGUGCCUAGCGCUCUGUGCACUCAGAGGCUAGAAGAAAAGAUACAGAGGUCCUCUUUCAAGGAGAGGCCCUGAUGUUUCUAUUCUUACAAGGAUUCUUUGGUAAUAAAUACAGUGAAAACACCGUCACCGUAGAGAUAAUACUUAAUGCUCAAGAGGUACGUAGCAGAGAUUGCAUUCCAAUCAAGGACUUCCGUAACCCUGUCUACCAAGCCAGUAUCACCUGUAGGCCAGUUCACCUUCAUCCAGUCACUUUACAGCACUUGAGUGUUUGCUGUCCGCUCAAUUAAAAUCCUACUCUGGUGGGAAAAACCAGAUUUCCAAAUGGGGACUUUAUUGAUUCAAUAAAAUUUAAGAAAUUCUGCUUAUGGAAAAACUCAUUAACCCAAACUAAUAAAUACGAGUUUACCCU